rnacentral:rRNA from 1 species
GACGAACGCUGGCGGCGUGCUUAACACAUGCAAGUCGAGCGGUAAGGCCCUUUCGGGGGUACACGAGCGGCGAACGGGUGAGUAACACGUGGGUGACCUGCCCUCAGCUCUGGGAUAAGCCUGGGAAACUGGGUCUAAUACUGGAUAUGACUCCACGGUGCAUGUCGUGGGGUGGAAAGCCUUGUGCGGCUGAGGAUGGGCCCGCGGCCUAUCAGCUUGUUGGGGGGUGAUGGCCUACCAAGGCGACGACGGGUAGCCGGCCUGAGAGGGCGACCGGCCACACUGGGACUGAGACACGGCCCAGACUCCUACGGGAGGCAGCAGUGGGGAAUCUUGCGCAAUGGGCGAAAGCCUGACGCAGCGACGCCGCGUGAGGGAUGACGGCUGGUGU